AGAUUCGGCUUUGCGCUAUAGUUAGCUCAGCACCAAUCAAGAAUCCCCAAGGAAUUCCAAGAAUUCUUGGUAUACAUUUGUUCCAACCCUCAACCCUCUUUUCUAGAUUCAUGGAUAUUGAAUCAAUCGAACGCACUUCUAAGACCUGUUCUACUUUUGGAAGACCCUGUGUUAUAUCACCAGAUCUCGAUUUUUCAUAUAUAAAUGUAACUAAUGUAUCUCCUUCGUAAAGGGUUUCCCCAUAAUGGCCAUGAACAGUUGCUCCGGGGGUGGCCAAAUAAGGCUUAGCUGAUCGUAUCACUAUCGAGUCAACUUGAACAAGUAUAACUUGACCCGAUUUGAGGGGCGGUCCAUUUUUGGCUAUACAUACAUUUUCACAAAUAAACUGUCCAAGACUAAUUAUUUUAGAUGUCUCUGCACAAUAAUAGUGAUGGAGAAAAGACCAAUUCAAAUUGAAUGGAUUUAAAAUAAUGUUACGGCAUGGAUCGGGAUUAAAAAUUUUUCCAUUUUCAUCCAUUAAAUAAUAUUUUAAUUUAAUCACUUGAAAAGUCUGUUUUAAAUUGUCAAGUUGCAAAUAUUUAGUUACUAAGAUCUGAUUAUGAGUUAUUAAAUGGUAAGAUGAAUAAAAAUUCUCAAUUGGAAGGCAUGUUCCUAAAGGGCCCAAUGAAUUCCUAAUUGGAAUUAGGGGAUCUUUUUUAAUUGAUUCUUUUAUCACACUGUGAUAUUUUACAUCUUUGAAUGGCUCCAUUCGAGAACAAUUGGCUGCUGACAAAAUUAUCAACGACUGACAUUCCUUAUUUCUAUUCAACAACGUAUGAAUAGUUCCUUGAGGUUGGUUAAGAGAUUGUUGAAUUUUUGCCUUGGAAUAGGAAUAAAUAGCAGAAAAGGGAUUGAUAUUGGUACAAUCCGAUCCAUUAUCAGAGAGCAAUCCUGACCCCGACGGAUCAUUCCUUUUUCCGAUAUACGAAAUAGGGGAUUUCACUAAGUUGAUUUUUAGGAAAUGUCGAAUCAAACCAUUUGUCCUUAUUUCAACAAAAGAAGCACGGGCUUCUUCGCAAGAAGAACUUUUUUUGUCUUGGUUCCAAUUCAAUACUAAACAAGUCCGAACUAAUUGAAUACUUGUGUCAGAAAUUCCUCGAAUCGGUUUGCCAUUUCCAUAAAGGAUAUAAUUGACAAUUCGAAGUUGCACAUUAUCCCUUUCCUGCAAUGGAUCCGGUGGAAAAAGGGUUCCUAAAUUUAUACCGUCCGUUAUUUCAUAUGUGACGACAGGUCGAACUAAAACAAAAAACCUUUUCUUACUAGGUGUAAUUCGUUGGACAUAGAUCCAAUUUUGAACUUUUUUGUAUUCCUUGGAAUUUCUUUUUCCUGUUCCUGGUGGUAUCAAAACGCCGGUAUGCCUGGAUAUCUUAUCCGUCUCUCCAGGAAAAUGGAUAUCUCCAGAAAAGAUUUUCAGUUCAAUUCGUUUUUUUUUUCUCUCCACCCGGACCAACCCACCGACUCGGCUUCUUAGAUUUAAGGUGAUUUGUGUAUCGACCCCAACGAUACUAUUGUUCCGUACCAUUAGGGAAGAAGAUCCGGGCAAGAUAUGCACCUCUUCAGGAAUGAAAAAAAAUCGAUCUACUUUCAUUUGGUAUUUUGGCCUAAAUUCCUUGACUCCUCGAUACUCAAUCAAAUCCUCUUUUUUGAUGACUGAAUGCGUUUCUAUAGUCCCAUAUUUAAUAAUGCCCGAACUCUUUCUUCUGUAUCGAGGAUCAUCGAAAUAAGCAAGAAUACUAUUUCGACGGAAAAUACCAUUUACGGGGAUUUCAAUCGAGAUACCUGAACAGGGCAUUAGUUCAUUCUCGAGUUCUUGAAUCGAGUGUAGUGGAAUGAUGAAUUUAUUUCUUCGCCUUUUUGACAAUAAAGCAGAAUUCCCGUGAAGAAUAGGCGAAUAUACGAGAUUAUACUGGCCAGUACAUAUGAUUCGAUUAAGGUCUGAAUAAUCAGGAAUCCUAUCUUCUUUUUGACCAUAAAAAUCCGAACUAAACAAUUUCUGCCUCGCCUGAUCAUUGGUUACUGAGAGGUUAGAAGUAUAUCUUCGCUUGCCAGAAAGAGAAUGCGCAUUCAUUUGAUCCUGAUCCUUGUGGAUCGAAAGGUAGACUAGACUGGACCUGCACGGCCCUCCUAAUAAUAUCCAUAAAUGACUUGUUUUUGGUAAUAGAUGAACAUUACCAUAUGUAAAUUCGGGUGCAUGAUAGACAUCGGUACUCCAGUGCAUUUCUCCGUCUGAAUCAGAAUAAAUAUGUUUUCGAACCUUCUCUUUAAAAUUCAAAGUGGAUAUUCCUGCGCGAAUCUCAGCAAUUACUUGUUCUGAUUCUACGUAUUGAUCGUUUUGAACUAAAAGCAAACUUUUGGGUGGAAUAUUCACAUUAUGUAGAAUAUCUUCACUCUCAAUAGUUACAUACAAGUCUAUAGAACAUAGAAAGGCGGGAUGCCCAUGACGUGUACGUGUCGGAUGAAC
rnacentral:lncRNA from 1 species